GACGUAGGGGGCAAGCGUUGUCCGGAUUUAUUGGGCGUAAAGAGCGUGUAGGCGGCCUUGCAAGUCCGUUGUGAAAACUCGAGGCUCAACCUCGAGACGCCGGUGGAAACUGCAAAGCUAGAGUCCGGAAGAGGAGAGUGGAAUUCCUGGUGUAGCGGUGAAAUGCGCAGAUAUCAGGAGGAACACCCGUGGCGAAAGCGGCUCUCUGGGACGGUACUGACGCUGAGACGCGAAAAGCGUGGGGGAGCAAAACAGG
rnacentral:rRNA from 1 species